rnacentral:lncRNA from 1 species
ACCCGUAAUUGAUUAACUUCAAGAAUAGCAGAAAAACCAAGAUUAGUACAAGUUAAGAUCAUAUACACAUUAUCAAUUGUUUUCUAUUCAUAACUUUAUAUUUCAAUUCUUUUGGUAUUCUUUACUAUUGAAAUAUAGUACUUCUGAUUCUUCAAAAGUACUAUAUUUUUGGAGAAUUCAACACGAUUGCGGCAACAAAAAUGAGUCCCCACAACUUAGGUCUAUAGUAUCCUGUUUAUAAUAGUGAUUUUCACUCUUUUUGCCAUCUUAUUCAUAUAUCUUCUUCUUUGGAAAACCAUUGGUCUACUGCUCUUACACUAAACUAAUAACUCUGUUGUUCCGUCCACGCCAUUCUAAUUGGUGGUUACACAUACAUUUGUUUAUUUUAAUUAUCAUAGUUCAUCUUUUACUAUUGUCUUGCAUAGUUUCCCCAUUUAACAAUCAUAAUAAAUUAUCUAUUUUUUGUUUGUCAGCUUAUCUUCUCCUUCCUUCUCUGCUUCCAGACGAGUUCAUCUCUUAGUUACAAACUCAGGUAUCUUUUUACCCAAAAUUUCUUUUAUUUUUCUCAGUUCCCCUUCUGCUUCUUUUGUUUUCACGAGACACUGAUUCAAGUGCCGGUCCAAACCAUAUGAAUAGACUAGGCGGUCAACAAGAUUUAGAGGAAUCCCCAGUCGUGGUCACAGGUACCUUAUCUAUUUUCUCACUUGAUGUAUACGCUUUCAUAAACUCUGGAGCUGCUCUCUCAUAUACUAAAUACAGUCAGACUUUGUUAUGCCAACCAUUUGUCCACAAAUCUACUAUGAUUGUCUAUACCUUAAAUCCUUAACUAACUUAACUCAAGUGGAAAGCACAGGUAUUCCCCAGCUAUUGAUCUGUACAUAGCCAAACAGUGAAAAUGUUAUAUAUUAGACUUUUCCGCACCAAAUAGGAGGAAUAUGACAGCACAAUACAUAACAGAACUAAUAGCUAUUGCUCUAAAUAUUAGUUAGUUUUGAAUUCUGAAGUUACUGAAAAAGAAUUGUGCUUCUUUUUUGUUAUAAUCGGUUGUUUCUCUUGCGGUAUGCUAAAUUUCGAUGGGUACAUGAUUAUUAUACUUGAGCAGCUGCAUAUUGGUACUGCUUCUUAUAUUUUCCACCUGCAUACUUCAAACCCACCCCUCAAGUUUAUUUGUAGUAUUACUAAUUUGGUUUGCUAUUAUAAUGUUUCCUUUUUUGAUUUAUAUUAGGUUUGAGCAAACGACAACAACUUUUGCUGUCACUAAUAUGGACUAUUUCAUCGCUGGGAAUACUAGAGAUCCUACAAGCAAUGAUUGAUAAUGGCAUAUAUUACACAAAAAUAAAAAUGAACACAAAUGUUUACU